GAUGAAGAACGUAGCGAAAUGCGAUAAGUAAUGCGAAUUGCAGAAUUCCGUGAGUCAUCGAAUCUUUGAACGCACAUUGCGCCCGCUGGUAUUCCGGCGGGCAUGCCUGUUCGAGCGUCAUUUCAACCCUCAAGCCCCCGGGUUUGGUGUUGGGGAUCGGCUCUGCCCUUCUGGGCGGUGCCGCCCCCGAAAUACAUUGGCGGUCUCGCUGCAGCCUCCAUUGCGUAGUAGCUAACACCUCGCAACUGGAACGCGGCGCGGCCAUGCCGUAAAACCCCAACUUCUGAAUGUUGACCUCGGAUCAGGUAGGAAUACCCGCUGAACUUAAGCAUAUCAAUAAGCGGAGGA
rnacentral:misc_RNA from 1 species